AGAGUUUGAUCAUGGCUCAGAUUGAACGCUGGCGGUAUGCUUAACACAUGCAAGUCGAACGGUAACAGGAAAAGCUUGCUUUUCGCUGACGAGUGGCGGACGGGUGCGUAAUGCGUAGGAAUCUCCCUAGUAGUGGGGGACAACUCGGAGAAAUUCGAGCUAAUACCGCAUAAGCCCUACGGGGGAAAACGGGGGAUCUUCUGACCUCGUGCUAUUAGAUGAGCCUACGUUAGAUUAGCUUGUUGGUGAGGUAAAAGCUCACCAAGGCGACGAUCUAUAGCUGGUCUGAGAGGAUGAUCAGCCACACUGGGACUGAGACACGGCCCAGACUCCUACGGGAGGCAGCAGUGGGGAAUAUUGGACAAUGGGCGAAAGCCUGAUCCAGCAAUACCGCGUGUGUGAAGAAGGCCUGAGGGUUGUAAAGCACUUUCAAUUGGGAGGAAUACCUAAUGGUUAAUAGCCAUUAGAUUAAC
rnacentral:rRNA from 1 species